GAUGAAGAACGCAGCGAAAUGCGAUACGUAAUGUGAAUUGCAGAAUUCAGUGAAUCAUCGAGUCUUUGAACGCACAUUGCGCCCCCUGGUAUUCCGGGGGGCAUGCCUGUCCGAGCGUCAUUGCUGCCCUCAAGCACGGCUUGUGUGUUGGGCCUCCGUCCUCCUCCCGGGGGACGGGCCCGAAAGGCAGCGGCGCACCGCGUCCGGUCCUCGAGCGUAUGGGGCUUCGUCACCCGCUCUUGUAGGCCCGGCCGGCGCUUGCCGACACAUCAAUCUUUUUUCCAGGUUGACCUCGGAUCAGGUAGGGAUACCCGCUGAACUUAAGCAUAUCAAUAAGCGGAGGA
rnacentral:misc_RNA from 1 species